rnacentral:rRNA from 1 species
UACGAAGGGGGCUAGCGUUGCUCGGAAUCACUGGGCGUAAAGGGUGCGUAGGCGGCUCUUUAAGUCGGGGGUGAAAUCCUGGAGCUCAACUCCAGAACUGCCUUCGAUACUGUAGAGCUUGAGUUCGGGAGAGGUGAGUGGAACUGCGAGUGUAGAGGUGAAAUUCGUAGAUAUUCGCAAGAACACCAGUGGCGAAGGCGGCUCACUGGCCCGAUACUGACGCUGAGGUGCGAAAGCGUGGGGAGCAAACAGG